rfam:Camelus ferus unplaced genomic scaffold scaffold504, whole genome shotgun sequence.
GAGGGUAUAGCUCAAGUGGUAGAGUGUGUGCUUAGCAUGCCCGAGGUACUAGGUUCCAUCCCCAGUACCUCCA